rnacentral:tRNA from 1 species
UCACCGGCCGGCCGGCGACGGUCAGCCGGUUGCGCCGGCCCGGCUCGACGGCCGGUUCCGGCCCGGCGUCGGUGAGC